CCUACGGGAGGCAGCAGUGAGGAAUAUUGGUCAAUGGACGAGAGUCUGAACCAGCCAAGUAGCGUGAAGGAUGACUGCCCUAUGGGUUGUAAACUUCUUUUAUAUGGGAAUAAAAUGUUCCACGUGUGGGAUUUUGUAUGUACCAUAUGAAUAAGGAUCGGCUAACUCCGUGCCAGCAGCCGCGGUAAUACGGAGGAUCCGAGCGUUAUCCGGAUUUAUUGGGUUUAAAGGGAGCGUAGGUGGGUUGGUAAGUCCGUUGUGAAAGUUUGCGGCUCAAACGUAAAAUUGCAGUUGAAACUGGCGGUCUUGAGUACAGUAGAGGUGGGCGGAAUGCGUGGUGUAGCGGUGAAAUGCAUAGAUAUCACGAAGAACUCCGAUUGCGAAGGCAGCUCACUGGACUGCAACUGACACUGAGGCUCGAAAGUGUGGGUAUCAAACAGGAUUAGAUACCCCAGUAGUC
rnacentral:rRNA from 1 species